rnacentral:tRNA from 1 species
GAGGGUAGAGCUCAGGGGUAGAGUGCAUGCUUGGCAUGCACAAGGUCCUGGGUUCAAUCCCCAGUACCGCCA